UUAGCGAUCGUUUCCAACCGUUAUUCCCAUGUUGAAGGCAAGUUACCCAUGUAUUACUAACCCUUCCGCCACUAAGUGUAUUGCUACACUUCGUUCGACUUGCAUGCCUAAUCCACGCCGACNCUGAUUA
rnacentral:rRNA from 1 species